ACAACUGAAGAUGCUAUGAAUCCU
rnacentral:siRNA from 1 species